UAAUUAUGCUUAAGUUACUGAAAUCUCAAUUAAAUCUGGUAAAGAUUUUUUUUUUUAUUGCAACAGUGAAACAGGGAAGGAGAGAGAUUUUGAGGGAGAGGGGUGUAAUGAGAUUGGGAGAGGGGAGGUCACAUCCUGCCAGUGCAUUUCACCCUCUUCCUAUGAUGGCUGCUCUUUUCCUUUAAAUUGUGUUUUCAUUUUACAUACACAUUUAUUUAAGUCACAGAUCAUUUGGAUCAUUUGAUCCGAUCAGGAAAUUGAGAAAUAAUAAAAAUAUAUUUGCUGGCUAUAACGCAGCGCUGUUUGACAGUCUGUGUGGAGAAGUUCACAGACUACAGCUGGCUGACGUUACGAUCGUUAAGUUAUUGAUUGUUUAUAAAAGCAGACACGGUGGAAGUGAACGGAUAAAGGUUGAACGUGCGUUCCCGACUCGGUCCAUACGGAUAGCGGAUCAACCGUGUUCUGUUGCACUACAAGUAAACAGGCGCGUGCGGUGGUUGGCGUUCCGGUGUGUGUGUGUGUUUGCAGCCAUGUAUGUUGGUGUGUCUCGUCUCGGCGUGCCCCCGCGAUGACCCGUCUGCAGACAGCAGAGGAGCAGGGACAAGUAGCUGCAGCUACAUCAUACGUGGUUUAGUAUAGUUUUAACAUGA